CGCGGUUUGGAGGAAAAGGGUUGGCGAAAGAAGAUUGGCCUGUCCAGAGAAUCUGCUUUGAAGAAAAAGUUGGAGGCCGUCAAUCACCUCCUCAUCAUUGCAAAUUCUUCAAAGGCCUCGAGGGGUGUGUGCGCGCGUGUGUGAAGAAGGCCCUCAAGGUUAAAAAGAUGAAACUCGAAAGGCAAUCCCAUUUUGGUCAAACCGGAGGCUCGAAGAGUCGAAGGAAAUUUUGGAAAACGCGGUCUUUGGCUUCUGGACCAUUUGAAAGAAGACGAACAGGAAGGUAACAUGCAUGAUUGGAUGGGAGAGCUUUGGAAGAGAAGGCCAGACAAAUAAUUGAGCACAUGAGCUGAAAUUUUGCAUAUGAUCUUGAAAUCGAGCUUUCUCCAAUCACAUUUUAAGUGGCAUCAUGCUUUCGUGUUAUUACAGAUGCGAUUCAUAUUCGAGCAAGCAGGAUAUCUUUACAUUGGCAUGCAUGGUGGGGCCAUGUAUCGAUGCUUCGGCCUCUCAUUUUUGUAGAGGGGAAUAAAAUAACUUGCCAUAAGUUUCUGCUAUUUUGAGAUGUUGCGGGUUAGGGGAUUAGAUUAUAUCUUUCAUGCAAAAAAAAUAGAGACUAAUCCUCUUUUGUGAUGUUAACUAUUAGAUCAUAUAUUGCACAAA